GUACAUUGCUUGGUCUUUUGGCUAAGAUCAAGUGUAGUAUCUGUUUUUAUCAGUUUAAUAUCUGAUAUCGGCCAUCUGGUCAUAUGAUAUUAAUUAAUUAAUUUCUUAUGGGGGAGGGCCCAUCACAAUAGCUUGCUGCUGGGACCCUCAAGUGCGGCCGAUGUUUUUCACUACUGCACGGUCAUGGCGCACCCCUA